rnacentral:lncRNA from 1 species
UCGAACCACCGCCUCAAGUACCUCGAUAAUCGAUAUUCUCUCAAAUCCCUUUUCAUCUUUCUUUAGAGCUCGAUCGAUCGACAUGGCCUCGAUGGAAAAAAUGAGAACGUGCCCACCGGAAAAGGUAGCGGUCGUAGGAAAGGACUGCUGAAGAUACAAACACAGAAGAGACAUAACACGAUUUGUCUCGCUUUUCAAUCUCUCAUUUGCUGCGUAAUCUGCUUUAACCAAAGAGACGCUCCAUCGUCAAUGACGGCGUGUUGAUUCCUCAGUGUAUCCGACUCUCCAUUGUUCUCUCUCACCGUUACCGUCGACUUUACCUCAAGUGUUUUCGAGUUGUUGAGUUAGGCUUCCACAAAUACGCUCUGCGUUGUCUCUUUGCUCCUACUAACACUUUGAACUAAGGUAUUGUUACAGUUCUAUUUUCUCCUCUGUCCAUAGGGUCGUAUUCUCCAAUUUGCAAUGAACACGAAGGCACAAUCCGAUUUGGGUAUAACCACAGCCUAUAUGAACCCUAAUUUUUUAUUUUCGUUAUCUUACCCCUACUUGCUUCUAUGUUCUUGAUUUUGGAGUCGACCAAGACCGACCCUACCAGAAGAGUCGGUAUUGGAUUUGAUUUUGGGUGUUGAAGGCUUAAUUUGGGGUUUUUCAACACAUGUCUUAAACAUAAGCAGAUGGAAACCUGUCUUUGGACAAAAGAGGUAAACUUUGAACAUUUGUUUGAUUAAUCUUAUAGUUUUUAUGAUUUAUACAAUUUCAUUAUGUUCUAUGUUCUCAGCUCCAUUGGCAAAUCACCCCGGUUAGUUCAUUUGGAUGAUAAUUAAAAAAAAUAUGUUUUCAUAUGCUUUUAUUUGAGCUGAUAACAUAGUUAAGUAAAUAUCAUGACUAAUAACGAAAUUCGAUUUUGUUCACAUCUUCCACCGUAUUGUAAUCUGAAAAAUAGCUUCUUUUUAUUAUGCAUUAAUUGGAUUUCUUGUACCAAAACACCCUUAUCUUUUGGAUUGGACUAGAUGUAACGCCCGGGUUUUCAGGGCUAAGCAUUUUUGUCAAUGUAAUAGUCUAGGUCAACUAUUGUAACUCUUUUUGAAGUAAUAAAUAUAAAAUAUUUGAGUAUUAUGUGUGUUUAUGUGUUUAUUAUUUAAUUAUAAAUGUAUAAUUAAUAAAGAAUAAAAAUGAGCGUCAAAAUUAAAGUGUGAGAUAAUCCUGAUAUCUCUACAUAAAGUUGUAGAAUACGUCUCAAGGUUUCCGUACAUAUAAAGAAUGCCGAAAUCCGAGCUAUAACGAAGAAGUUAUGGCCCGCCGAAGUUUUACGGCAAAACCGGCACGACACCGGGAGACGUAAAUAGUGAAUUUACGAUAGAAGACUUUUUAGCCUUAUCAAUCUAAACAAAAGUCGUAGAAUAUGUUAAACUAAGAACAUCGAUAAAAAGAACGCCCAAAUCUGACUUCGUAUGAAGAAGUUAUGAUUUUUCUAAGAUUCGGCUUAGCAGUGCACGGCCUGAAACUCGAAUUUUAGUUCGAGCGGUUUUUGGCUUACGCAACGUAAAUGAGAGUUGAAGAUCUCAUUAAUAGGAAAUCAACGGUAAAAAGACAGACAAAAACAGAGUCCGUAUGUAGAAGUUAUUAAUUUUACGCAGACGUUUAACAGUAUAAUCUCCUUGUACUGUUAAAUUUAAGAUCGAUCGAGAAUUGGCUGACGGUGUCAAAAUGAAAGUUGUAGAUCUUAUUAUUACCUACGCGUGGAUAUAAAGAACGUCAAAAACGGAGGUCGUAUGUGAAAGUUACGGAUUUUAGAAGUCGGAAGUGUGCUGUGCGAAAAUGGGUGAUGUGGCACAAUCUUGGCCAUUGCUUUCUCCCCAAGGCUUGCCACCAGAUGGUGACAUGUGGCACCAAGUUCAGCCACAUUUCACCCUAUAAAUACCACCUCUCCCACCCUCAUUUUCUUCACACCUUUCCCAUUCUUUCUUCUCUUUACUCUCUCUCUCUCUCUAGAACCUCUCUCUAGCCCCGAAAUCCCCCGAAAAGCCUAGGGAACCUCCCUAGCACGAGGCGGAAGCCCCGGAGUGCUCGAAGGCUCCGAGAAGAAGAGCUUUUCGGCUCGGGAACGCUGCUCCAAGCAAAGCCCGGUUUUCUAUAAAACCCGCUGUAAGUGAGCUACGCCUACGCUAUUUUUAAUAUAGCUUUUAUUUAAUUAUAGUAACGUUAUUAGGAACUUAUAAUAAAUACUUGGGCUAUUAUUAUGGGUUAUAUAAGUAUUUUUUUGACGCUUAUAUAAUAAUAAUAAUAAUAGCUAGACUAUUAAUUAGUCUCGACGAAUAAUAAACUAAACUCUAGUGGUAAUAAUACUAGGUUUCGUCGAAGAAAAUUCUUUUUAAGAAGCGAAGCGCUGUCUGAGUUCGGAAUCACCACCUUUUCAGGUGAGUGCAUAUUUACUUUCAACUUACACAUAGAUAUGAAGUAUUUAAUAUAAAUUACGUGCUAUUUGUGCAUAUUAUCUGAAUACUUGCUAUCUAUGCUGGAUGAACGUUUUAUACAUGUUUUCAAAGAUUUAAACUGUAUAUGUAUUUUAUAUCUACAAAAUGUGUUGGGUAAAACAUGGGUAGAUGUAAUAGUUGCUGUGUGACAAAAUAAAAUAAUGAGAGGCCUCGUUAUAGAUGUUAUUGAUGAUCCAGUCAUCUAGCGGAGUAUAGAUGACGACCACGGACUAUUCUAGACAGUCCAGUGGAACACUAGCAGGCUCGCAACCUGUAGGUGUUUAUUUGAACUGUGUGUUUAUUUGAACUGUGUGCUCACCAGAUGUACUCCAUCCCCCACAUGGUUGCCUAUUAGGACAUUUAUUGCUGAGGAAUCCCCUUAGUAGUAGUGUCCGUCCCGAUGAUGAUCCUUAGGCUAGGUCCCUUAUGAUAGGUGUUUAGGGACGUAAAGUGAGGAUAACGGGAACGGGUAAUCGGGUUAUUGUUGAUUGAUGAAAUUAAUAAACUAUUUAUUGUGGGUUGAAAACCCUAUGUGCUCACCAGGCUCCCAAGCCUGACCCACUCAGUUUUAUGUAUUACAGGUAGUGGCGCUUGAGCAUAUAUAUGAUGUUUGGACGAGGGAUUACGGAUAUAGGCCUGUAGAUAUGAAAUAAUGUAGUAAGGCUUGUAUUGUACUGUUUAUGCUUUUG